rnacentral:rRNA from 1 species
UACGGAGGGUGCAAGCGUUAUCCGGAUUUACUGGGCUUAAAGGGCGCGUGGGCGGGUUGGUAAGUCCGUGGUGAAAUCUCCAAGCUUAACUUGGAAACUGCCGUGGAUACUAUCAAUCUUGAAUAUAGUGGAGGUGAGCGGAAUAUGUCAUGUAGCGGUGAAAUGCUUAGAUAUGACGUAGAACACCCGUUGCGAAGGCAGCUCGCUGCACUAUUAUUGACGCUGAGGCGCGAAAGCGUGGGGAGCAAACAGG